CGAAAGCCUGACGGAGCAAUACCGCGUGAGGGAGGAAGGCUCUUGGGUCGUAAACCUCUUUUCUCAGGGAAGAAAAAAAUGACGGUACCUGAGGAAUAAGCAUCGGCUAACUCCGUGCCAGCAGCCGCGGUAAUACGGAGGAUGCAAGCGUUAUCCGGAAUGAUUGGGCGUAAAGGGUCCGCAGGUGGUACUGUAAGUCUGCUGUUAAAGAGCAAGGCUCAACCUUGUAAAAGCAGUGGAAACUACAGAACUAGAGUGCGUUCGGGGCAGAAGGAAUUCCUGGUGUAGCGGUGAAAUGCGUAGAUAUCAGGAAGAACACCGGUGGCGAAAGCGUUCUGCUAGGCCGUAACUGACACUGAGGGACGAAAGCUAGGGGAGCGAAUGGGAUUAGAUACCCCAGUAGUCCUAGCCGUAAACGAUGGAUACUAGGCGUGGCUUGUAUCGACCCGAGCCGUGCCGGAGCUAACGCGUUAAGUAUCCCGCCUGGGGAGUACGCACGCAAGUGUGAAACUCAAAGGAAUUGACGGGGGCCCGCACAAGCGGUGGAGUAUGUGGUUUAAUUCGAUGCAACGCGAAGAACCUUACCAAGACUUGACAUCCUGCGAAUCUUUGGGAAACUGAAGAGUGCCUUCGGGAGCGCAGAGACAGGUGGUGCAUGGCUGUCGUCAGCUCGUGUCGUGAGAUGUUGGGUUAAGUCCCGCAACGAGCGCAACCCUCGUUUUUAGUUGCCAGCAUUAAGUUGGGCACUCUAGAGAGACUGCCGGUGACAAACCGGAGGAAGGUGAGGAUGACGUCAAGUCAGCAUGCCCCUUACGUCUUGGGCUACACACGUACUACAAUGCUACGGACAAAGGGCAGCAAGCUAGCGAUAGCAAGCAAAUCUCAUAAACCGUAGCUCAGUUCAGAUCGAAGGCUGCAACUCGCCUUCGUGAAGGAGGAAUCGCUAGUAAUUGCAGGUCAGCAUACUGCAGUGAAUUCGUUCCCGGGCCUUGUACACACCGCCCGUCACACCAUGGAAGUUGGUCACGCCCGAAGUCAUUACCCCAACCGAAAGGAGGGGGAUGCCUAAUGUAGGACUGGUGACUGGG
rnacentral:rRNA from 1 species